GUAGUCCACACUGUAAACGAUGAUAACUCGCUGUCGGCGAUACACAGUCGGUGGCCAAGCGAAAGCGAUAAGUUAUCCACCUGGGGAGUACGACCGCAAGGUUGAAACUCAAAGGAAUUGACGGGGGCCCGCACAAGCGGAGGAACAUGUGGUUUAAUUCGAUGAUACGCGAGGAACCUUACCCGGGCUCGAACGGCAAGUGAACGACACAGAGAUGUGGAGGUCCUUCGGGACACUUGUCGAGGUGCUGCAUGGUUGUCGUCAGCUCGUGCCGUGAGGUGUCGGCUUAAGUGCCAUAACGAGCGCAACCCUUGCCAUUAGUUACCAGCACGUAAAGGUGGGGACUCUAG
rnacentral:rRNA from 1 species